rnacentral:rRNA from 3 species
AGACCCGAAACCCGGUGAUCUAGCCAUGGGCAGGUUGAAGGUUGGGUAACACUAACUGGAGGACCGAACCGACUAAUGUUGAAAAAUUAGCGGAUGACCUGUGGCUGGGGGUGAAAGGCCAAUCAAACCGGGAGAUAGCUGGUUCUCCCCGAAAGCUAUUUAGGUAGCGCCUCGUGAAUUCAUCUCCGGGGGUAGAGCACUGUUUCGGCUAGGGGGCCAUCCCGGCUUACCAACCCGAUGCAAACUGCGAAUACCGGAGAAUGUUAUCACGGGAGACACACGGCGGGUGCUAACGUCCGUCGUGAAGAGGGAAACAACCCAGACCGCCAGCUAAGGUCCCAAAGUCAUGGUUAAGUGGGA